UUGGUCAUAGCUCAGUCAGUAGAGCAUGAGACUCUUAAUCACAGAGUCAUGGGUUCGAGCCGAGCAUUGGGCAAA